GAUGAACGCUGGCGGCGUGCCUAAUACAUGCAAGUCGAGCGAACGGACGAGAAGCUUGCUUCUCUGAUGUUAGCGGCGGACGGGUGAGUAACACGUGGAUAACCUACCUAUAAGACUGGGAUAACUUCGGGAAACCGGAUCUAAUACCGGAUGAUAUUUUGAACCGCAUGGUUCAAAAGUGAAAGACGGUCUUGCUGUCACUUAUAGAUGGAUCCGCGCUGCAUUAGCUAGUUGGUAAGGUAACGGCUUACCAAGGCAACGAUGCAUAGCCGACCUGAGAGGGUGAUAGGCCACACUGGAACUGAGACACGGUCCAGACUCCUACGGGAGGCAGCAGUAGGGAAUCUUCCGCAAUGGGCGAAAGCCUGACGGAGCAAAGCCGCGUGAGUGAUGAAGGUCUUCGGAUCGUAAAACUCUGUUAUUAGGGAAGAACAUAUGUGUAAGUAACUGUGCACAUCUUGACGGUACCUAAUCAGAAAGCCACGGCUAACUACGUG
rnacentral:rRNA from 1 species